UACAGAGGGUGCGAGCGUUAAUCGGAAUUACUGGGCGUAAAGCGCGCGUAGGCGGCUUUGCAAGUCGGGUGUGAAAUCCCCAGGCUUAACCUGGGAACUGCAUUCGAGACUGCAUUGCUAGAGUAUGGGAGAGGGAAGUGGAAUUUCCGGUGUAGCGGUGAAAUGCGUAGAUAUCGGAAGGAACAUCAGUGGCGAAAGCGACUUCCUGGACCAAUACUGACGCUCAUGUGCGAAAGCGUGGGGAGCAAACAGGAUUAGAAACCCCCGUAGUCC
rnacentral:rRNA from 1 species